rnacentral:rRNA from 1 species
UACGUAGGUGGCAAGCGUUAUCCGGAUUUAUUGGGUGUAAAGGGCGUGUAGGCGGGAAUGCAAGUCAGAUGUGAAAACUAUGGGCUCAACCCAUAGCCUGCAUUUGAAACUGUAUUUCUUGAGUGCUGGAGAGGCAAUCGGAAUUCCGUGUGUAGCGGUGAAGUGCGUAGAUAUACGGAGGAACACCAGUGGCGAAGGCGGAUUGCUGGACAGUAACUGACGCUGAGGCGCGAAAGCGUGGGGAGCAAACAGG